CUAUAGACGUCUCGUGCUCGCAGAUGCCGCCCAGCGGCUCCGGGGCGGCAGGCCAGAGCGAUAGGAUUGCUAGGCUUACCAGGCGGACGCUGCUACCCUGCGUGGAGCACUCUAGUCAAGUGUUCGGGACACCCCCACCCCCACGCCCGGGACCAGCCGGUGGGUCCUCUGAGCCUCGCAGAAAAGGACCCUAAGGAGAGCGCACAGGGGCCGCGAGAGGGCAGGGUGUUGGAGAGGAGUGAACUUGAAUUGGGGACCGUGAUCCCCAGGCGGGGCCCAUAGUCAGGGGCCUGAAGCCACAGUUUUCUUUCCCUACUGUCAUUCAUGGGGGCACUAAUCUCGGUAGCUCGGGUGUCUAAUUCCUGGCUACGAAGCCUUUCGAGCACCCACUGGGAGCCCUCCGCGCCGCGCCGCCUACAGGCUCGCGGCUGUGGGUAGGAGUUUGCGUGCGUCGACUCCCAGCCACGUGGCGUCCCGUUCACCCUCCACCUGGAUCGCGGCCGC
rnacentral:lncRNA from 1 species